ensembl:misc_RNA Metazoa_SRP Metazoan signal recognition particle RNA
GCCGGGCAAGGUGGCACACGUCUGUAGUCCCAGCUACUUGGGAGGCUGAGGUGGGAGGAUUUCUUGAGCUUAGGAGUUUGAGGCUGCAGUGAGCCACGAUCAUGUCACUGCACUCCAGCCUGGGCAACAGAGAGAGACCCCAUCUCUA